ensembl:snRNA U6 U6 spliceosomal RNA
AUGCUUACCUUCACAGCAUAUAUACUAAAAUUGCAAUGUUAUACAGAAGAUUAACAUAGCCCCUGAGCAAGGACAAAAUACAAAUUUAUGGAAGAUUCCAUAUUUUA